GGAGGGUGCAUUGCAGUUGCAUUGCAUGUGCUGAUUCAUUAAAUGCAAUGUGACAGUAAGGCAACUCUU
rnacentral:pre_miRNA from 1 species